rnacentral:rRNA from 1 species
CCUACGGGAGGCAGCAGUGGGGAAUAUUGGGCAAUGGAGGCAACUCUGACCCAGCAAUGCCGCGUGAAUGAAGAAGGUCUUCGGAUUGUAAAGUUCUUUAAUCAGGGACGAAGAAGAUGACGGUACCUGAGGAAUAAGCCACGGCAAACUAUGUGCCAGCAGCCGCGGUAAUACGAAGGGGGCAAGCGUUGUUCGGAAUUACUGGGCGUAAAGGGAGUGUAGGCGGUUUAGUAAGAUAGUGGUGAAAUCCCAGGGCUUAACUUUGGAAUUGCCAUUAUAACUAUUAGACUAGAAUUACAGAGAGGAUAGUGGAAUACCCAGUGUAGAGGUGAAAUUCGUAGAUAUUGGGUAGAACACCAGUGGCGAAGGCGACUAUCUGGCUGUACAUUGACGCUGAGGCUCGAAAGCAUGGGGAUCAAACAGGAUUAGAUACCCCUGUAGUC